rnacentral:rRNA from 1 species
CACGUAGGGUGCGAGCGUUGUCCGGAAUUAUUGGGCGUAAAGAGCUCGUAGGCGGUGUGUCGCGUCGGCCGUGAAAACCUGCAGCUUAACUGUGGGCUUGCGGUCGAUACGGGCAUCACUGGAGUUCGGCAGGGGAGACUGGAAUUCCUGGUGUAGCGGUGAAAUGCGCAGAUAUCAGGAGGAACACCGGUGGCGAAGGCGGGUCUCUGGGACGGUACUGACGCUAAGACGCGAAAGCGUGGGGAGCGAACAGG